GUCAAGCCUCUCCGGGUUUAAAACUGCUGUUCAGCGUCAUCUGCGUUUGAGUGUGCGAUAUUGGUAUCCAUAUUUCAGCUUGUGUCCCUACAGCACCUUGAUGCAACAUAAACAAAUGGGACUGUCAACAAGGGCUGCUUUCUGAUGACGUGAGGACCUCGAGAGCGGAUGUCUGCAGGCUACCGGCCUCUGGAGGACAAAGACCAGCCCUGCAAAUCUCCGCCCCCAAACUCACUCAGCGCCUGGCCUGUAGGGGUCGCUGCAGAGCGGUGAAGAGAAGCUGGAUCCCACCUCCCCAACCCCGGGAGUGCCAAAGCCAAUGGGGCUCCCCCCCAGUGAAGACCGGCUGCCUCGCACAACCAGGACUCGAACUUCGAUUGCAAUCUCUGGUUGUAUGACUCAACUUUAAUAUAUUUAUAAAUUACAUUGAUAAAGAUAUAUUUGAAUAAAACAUUUAGCUCAUGGCAUACUGUGGCAAAGUGGUAAUGACGUGCAGGUGAGUGCAGUGCAGAAGAAUCACACAGACAACGUUGGUACAGGUGCAAGGGUGUUUAUUUAAUUUAAUAAAUGUCCAGAGCCUUAAGGCAAAACCUGCAAAUAAUAAUAGUGCUGGAAGUGAUACAGCGGCGUGUAUCACUUCUAUUUGUAAAUCCUACGGGUUUGCGUGGUGAAGUCCGGGUUUUUCGCUGGCCGGCGGCUGCAGCUCCGGAUCGUGCUCAGUAAUCUUUGUGAGAAACGACACACAAGACAAACAGUGUAAAUACACAGACAAGCAAUCACUCACGGUUUUUAGCACAAACAAGACGGGCUCCUUCUAGGUUAUUUGGUUUAACCAUCUGCAAAGGAACAGAUCACUCAAGCCAUGCCCCCUAUUUAUACCCUCGCCCAUGACCCCGAGGUUAACGAGCGCAUCCGCUCUUCCAGUCCUCGGAUGCCACGCCGCUUACCGUCUGGGUCACUGAGCUCGGGUGCCAUGGCUCCGCCCCCUUCCGAACUGACCGACUUCCAUCUACCCUACGGAAUAAAUUGUCGUGCCAUUUCAUUAAGGGUACUCUGUUCCUUGUAU